rnacentral:lncRNA from 1 species
GAUCUGAACAUUGUCUUGAAAAACCAAGAAAAAAAAAAGAAAGAAAAAAAAAAGAUUGAAGGGAUGAUUUCAAUAAAUUCUUGUGAGAUUCGUAAGAUAAGAGGAAAAUAAAAAUGAAGCUUAGAGUAUUCUGGAUAGGAUGAAGUAUCUAGAAUAAUAUUAGAAUCGCAAUAUAAGAUGAAAAUUUCUAUAUUUUAGAAAGAAGUCUAGCUUGGUCACUGAGAGAGUGGCAAAAAUUCGGUUGCAACGAAAGUCCCGCGAGGUAAGCGUCGAAAGUAAAGUUGAGUUUGGUUGCUUGGGGGAAUCGAACCUGGAAUCCAUAAAAAGAGAUCCGGCCGCGGCCGGUUCUAUGGGGACCCAUGGCCCUCGAGACAACCUCGGUCACGUCUGUAAAAGUUGGGAAGGGGCCGGAAAGGGGCAGCUGCCACCGGAGGAUUACCUCGAAAACCUCUGGCACGGAAUCGUUACGUUUCCAGAGAAGCUCAGGCCCGCACGGUCGUCUCGGGCAAACAAGCGGAUCUCCAGAGGAACUGGUGAAGCCCCGGGGCCCAAAGGCCUAGUCUGGUCGAGCAAACAUGACCGGAGGCGGGCAGUGGGGGACUAAUGAAAUCACUGUGUAAGUCUAGCGUCGCGUCCCCGAUUCGUAGCCCGGAGCGGAUUUUCUUCUCUGGAUUGGAUUUCAAAUGAAGCCACGUCGCUACAGUAGCCAUGUGUCUUUCCCCGCUAAUCACUCAUUAGCCGAAUCAGCAAUAGCCAACGACCUGAUUGGUCCGUCUCCCUAGGGUAUCUGACAUCACGUGAUUUGGUACCUGUUUGUCUUAAGUGAUUGGGGAUGCCACAAAUCCGAUUGUCCGCAUCCGGUCGCCACCUUUAGCUUUUCCUUCCAAUCCGUUCUCGGCCGCUAAUUGCUAAUUGUUGCCCGAAAAGAAUUUUGCCCAAACACAACCAAAGACAGGGAUUGACCUUUAAUUUUUCAACCACUUUCUGGUCUACAGUCCGUCACCCAGCCUACAAUACACGUUAUUUCGUAGCGAUUUCCCCAUUGAUCUAGUCAGGUCCCAAUGCUUGGGCGACACAGGGCGAAAGGUGUCAUCCCGGCCAUCAUCGAUUAGCCUAUAGAUCGAUCGAUGGCCAACGGGACGUCAUCGCUUCUUCCGGCCAUCGACUAGGCUAAUUAAGAGUCGAUAUUGUGGUUUUAGUUCUGCGAAAAGGGGAGAAACCCGGUCGGACUAUACUUUUAUUCGAUGUAGUUACAUUCUCCGGUUCUCUCGGAUGUCUUUUGAUAGAAACGAAAAAGUGACAGCGUAACCUUUUAAGCUUCUCCGAUCCCAGAAACAUAGUUUCUUAACUGUGGAGGUCAACGAACGAAUCGGUUGGAUGCAGGAGUUAAAGCGGCGAAGGUAUUAAUGAAGAGAAAGGUUGGAAGGAUUCGAACAGGUUAUCGAUCUAGGCAAUAGUGGCCACAGCGGCCGAUUAAUCAGUUCGGAGAUCUUCCAACACAAACAUGGCGACCGAUUUGUUUGGCCAAGCUGCGGAGAGAGCGACACCCGCUCCACUCGAUUAGCGCACCUUGUUUGUCUAGAGGGUGGCGUCUCGUCCCGUCUGUUUAAUAUUCGCGCUGUUUGUCUUGUCCGAUGAUUGAAUUGGUCCCGCUCGUUUGUCAACAACCUCUUUACAAAAGCUCCUUUCCGGAACAGAAUUAGUGGAAUGGUGCUUAGACGAAAGUCCCAUUCGAGACCGAAAUGACGAAAAGAAAAGAGGAUGAUGAGAGAGAGAGAGAGGACUGACAUUCGGUCUUUGGCUAGUCAGGGUAGACAAAUAUAGAAUAAAAGGAGGCACAUACACAAAAAAGAACUAAAGUCUGGCGUGUGCGGAGACUGGCAAACAUAGGCGGCGUGUAACGGGGAGAAGUUUCUUUGGCUCUUCCUCAUCCAUGUUGAUGAGGAGGGAGGUUCUGACUCUUCUUUCUGGAAUACACAAGGGCUCUCUACCGGAUCCCCGGGGAGGCAGGGAAUAAGAAGUCGGCAGAAGACUUUUAAACAGAGAGAGAGAGAAAAGAGGCGAAUUAUCAACAUUUUUGUUUAGAUCGGAAUGGAACUGGGCCGACCUAAAAUUUAAAUGACUGAAAGAGGAUCGGACCGAGAGGCAAAUAUCCAAUUUGGUCAAUGCUUUUUUGGUGCGAGGUUGGUUACGAUGGAAUAGCGUGAGGGAUGGCGGGAACUCAUGAUUUGUGACGUACAAACAAAGCUCCACCUUAGACAAACAGCCAAGUCGAGGAGAGUCUCGGAGGAGUGAUUAGCGACGACUGCGGGCGAAGGAGCCGGUGUUUGCCUUCAGUUCUGUCAACAAGCACUCUUCCACUAAUCAGCCAUGAUAAACAGACAGAUUUUACUCGCUCUCCCCUAAUGACCGACGUUUUUCCACCCAGGGCAACCGACCACCGACUAUUUACCAUCGGUUUUUCUUUUACAGGCCGCUUCCGGGACCCGAGUCAAUUCGUACCGGGCCCGGCGGCGGGAGCACCUCGGUGUCCAUGACAACCGCCCCAAGCAUCCCGUAACCAUAGAAACGAUCCAUCCUUCGCUCCCUGGAGAAGCGCCAGUCGGUAAGGACGUUAUCUGUUCCAACAAUGUCUGUCACUAAAUCAUUCCUUUUCUCUCCAUCUUGUAAUCCGUUUUAUCUUCGGAAAAAAUCUCGGUUGUUUCUUCCAUCACCGAAAUUGAAACGUGAAUAAUUGAUGGCGCGUCCCUGCGGAUCUCCCAUUCCCGCUAAAACCCGAAAAAACUUUUCGUCGCCGUUUUGGGACCUUAAUUUAUUGCGCAACGGUCGGCGCCGGCGCUCCGUCCACGUCGAUCCGAUGGGAACGGUUUCCGAACGCUCCGAGUGAUUUCCCAGCAGCCCCGGCACAGAGCCUGGUGGACGGGUGUCGCGCCAUAAAAAUUCCUUCCCCGUUACAUCCGACUUUUCCUAGGUUCGGGCGGCCUGGCGGGGAAGCCGGCCAGGCACGCGUUUACUGCACACUGAUUCCAAUAUCACAGCGUCGCCCUUCACCCGCACCGGGGAGAAUUUCUAAAAUUACCAGCGCUGGCAGUCGACGAAAGCUCCGAAGAAAGGGGAGGGGGCGCGAAUAGGAGCUCAUUUAUCUCCCGGUAACGCGCCUGGCGUCCGGGCAGAUGAUGCUCGGCGAACGGGAAACGAUGUAUAUGCAUGCGAAGGACGGAGACGAUUGUCCGGGACAUUACCCGACCAGACUGAUUUAUGUGCUGCAUCCUGCGUUUUUUCCUCCUUUAACUCACCGUCGAUACUCCUCUCCUUCUUUUAUUACUUGUCUCCUCGCUUCGCCCGCGGUAAUUACGCCGCUCACUCUCGGGUAAGGUUUACUGCCAUAGACGGCACUUCACUCGCCCGCUUCGUGCAGUGAAGCCCUCCUUUUCUUUUUCUUUUUUCUGCUCUGCCGCGUCUCGGCCAAACUUCCGUCUAAAUAUCUUCCUCUUAUUAAUUUUUCUGGCGUCGGCGCGUAGCGCGCGAGGGUCGCGCUAUCGGAAGCUUCUAUCGCCAGGUGAAGAGGGGAAACUGUUUUCCUCCUCCAUGCUCAAUUUAAGAGGGUCGAGAAGAAGGCGCAGUUAAAACCUGGUGUCUGCCGUUAUUACUGAUCCGGGAACGCCUAAUUUCUUUCAGCAAACGACUUUCUAGCGGAAACCAGGGGCCGAUCCCCUUUCAGCUAGCGUGCACUGGCUUAAUUUAGCCCCGGCAAUUUGUGUAUAAUAAGGCCGCAGACAUACGCAGUAGCGGACAAAAUAUGUAAUAGAGCCAUCAGAGGGGAGGAGAGGUAUUUACUCGGCGAUAAAUGAAAGAGGGCGGAGGGUGGCGAAUGCGUCGGCGUCCUUCGGGGUCGGAUUGCCAGGAACGCUGCCCUUUCGUCAUUUGGGACGGCAUACUUUAAUUCCAUCUCCGGAGAAUUGGGAGCAUGUUCCGAGGAUGGCGUCAGGAUUCCUGGUAACCGUCUGCAUUCCUGUUCUGUUACCGAACCGGUGGUAGAUUAUGUCUACUGCUUGUCUGGCCAACCUUACAUUAGCUUCCGUUAGAAUUAUCUCGAAAGAGUUAAAAAUAAGCUAUCGAAUCGGCAUAGGAAAGCGCAAAACGAGUUAAAACUACUCUCAAUGAAUUUAUAUUAAACUCGAAGAUAUAAUUCAUAUUGUAUCCGCAUCUGCAGAAGUCCUACAUGGAUGCUGCGAACGGCGCGACAAAAACGGAUCGUUUAGCAUUCAAGACGCGCUGUGCGUAUUAUAACGAGUUUUAUUGACGCGCGCAAAAUCUAAACGAAGAAAGUAAGACAGACUCAGUAAAAUAAAUUGAAAAGUUUAAAGAUGGAGUUGGGUCAGUCGCUUCUUGCGCCGGUAGUCUCGGACUCCCAGUUUAAUCUGUAACCCCCGCGUUGCACAAACCUCGAGGGAAAGGCCAGACGGUUCCUCGUUCCGUUUUUAAUGCGUUUCUUUCCAACAAGUUUAUGGAUGCGUCUUCUUUGGCGGAGGCCUUUUUUGACUGUGUGAGGGGAGGCAAAGUCUGUUUGGAAUUUCUAUUUCCGUUUUUCCUGGGAGACGAUCGAAAAACUCGCUUAUCCUGAGUUAUUGCUCUCCUGUUGAUUGAAUAAAGUCCUAGGGGAUUAUUUUACUUAAGUAUAAAAUUUUAAGUCUUGGCAGGAAGCCGGACAGCGUCCGCUCCCGGAAAAUUGACGUAGAAAAUCGGGGCAAAUUUACGGUUUCAAAUUGGAUGGUGGCGUCCCCCGAAGGGAAUCGGACGGAAAGGUCAUAUACAAUACAUCCCGCUGUUUUCCGAUCAGAUCAGUCAGCGCGCGCGUCUCGCAUCCGGGAUGUAGCGCGACGCCAGUAGGGCGGUGAUUCACACGGACCCAGAGGUGGAUAGGUGGGACAGGCGGCUAUUUCGGUAGUCGGAAGAAUCAAUGGACCGGGCGUCUCCGCAGUCCGUUAAAUAAUUAGAUUUAAAUAUUAACGGAGGUUUCAAUUAUGCAGCGGUCAGACGACAUUCGGGAAAUCAUGGGGAAAGGCGACCGGUGUCGUCCGCCUAGUCAGGUGACGCAAUAUUAGCGAGCCAUCAAUUUCCCGCCGACGACAAUGCCUGUGGCUGAAAUUACAUCCUAAAUUUACCGGCUACGCACAACAAUCUGUGGACUGGAGGCCGAAAAGAAUCUCAAGAAUGCGGCUCGGUGGCCGAGGAUGUCCCUCCGGCGGCAUUUCAUUAAACGGCGCCUUAAUGACGUCGAUGAUUUUUAAUGACGUCCGGAAUUGCCGCUCUUUGAUUUCUGGCCCGCUAAUUGGGUUCCGGGCUCUUGGUUCUAGCCAAACUUAAUCUAGGGUCCAGAUCCACGGCCGCCUGCACCCAACCGCGCCAUUUUCAUUUUUCUAAUAACCACCGACUGCUUUUUGACUUACAUUAGUGAUUACACACGCCCGCAAUCGUUACCUACCGCGCUGACAGACGUCGGACCCAAAAGUCACGGUUCCCAUAUGCGUUUGCGCAACCGAGCGUGUCGCCCCGGGUUUUCCGAUCGAAAAUACUCGCUUUGAUUAGCACAGAAUCUUCCCGGCCCGCUACUCAUCCCGGCCGACUUUCGAAAGGCCCGGGCGUGUCCCAUUACCUUUCAUUCGGAAGCUCCACCGGAAAUCGCCUCCGGCAGUCUGAUGCGCGUACUCGCGCCAUCGACGUCACGGCUUACCUGUGCAAGUCACGUGACCAGCAAUCUCCAGAGACCCACGCGGAUAUUACGGUAAUGAAACGUCGGUCCGUGUCCGCCUUUCACCGGUGCUCCUCCCCUCUCGACCCUCUCCGAGAGUUCGGACGGCGGGGGGUAAGAAGCGAGUAAUGAAUAAAUCACACCCAAAAGGAUUUGGUACGGUCCCCGCGAGAAUGGGAGUGGAAAGAGAAAUAUUGUACAAACGUAAUCAGAUAAAUUGGCAAGCAGAAAAUUAAUCUGCGCCCGAAUGAGCUCGGGCCCAAAGGCGCUCCCGUCGCCGGUCGUUACCGUGGGCGAGGUCGGUCGGCCGCUGCCCGUUGCCGCGGACGUUCGGGACCGAUUCUCAGAAACGGAUUCGGCCAGCCUGGAUUAAUUAUCAGCCAGGAAAUGAUCCGCCAGUUCCUUGCAUCUGACGUCAUCGGACGAGGGCCAAAGGGCUGUCGCCUUUCCGAUCGAGUACGUGUCACCCCCGGAGAAGAUGGUCGUAAAUCAUGGUUUGGUCGACUGUCGGUCUGCGCGAGACGCGGAGGCGUCCGGACGUGGGCGGACGAACAUUAAGGAUGUCCCACGAUUUCCUGUCCUGUCAGAUUCUCGUCUGGAUAGACAUUCUUUCUUAAUUGCUCGCUGGCGUCUACUACUUUACGCCGGAUUUAAAGAUUUGUCUUCCGCACUUUAAGUUUUUCUUUUGGACCAAUUACUGCGGUCGUAGGUGACGAGUCCGUUCUGUCGUCAGUGCCGGCGCUUGCUACCACACGCUUCUUCUUCACAUCUAUCUUUCCACUCUAAUAUUAGUGAUCUUAAAAUGAUUUUCGUAGCUCGAAAAGAACAGUCUCCACUUAAUCGAUAGCAUUAUCCGUGCAACUGAAUUUGGCCUUCUUUCUACCGCCACGCACACGGAAGUGAUCGAUAAGUAGGGGGAAAAAAAUAGUACUUAAGGGUUUUUUAUUCGGAUUUGGGCGCGCUUCGUGUUACCGGAAAGUGUUAUCAUCUAUUAAAAUCGCUCCAAACUUUUAUCCUUCGAAGGAACAAAUAAAAUUUAUCGAUUUCCUAUUAAAUUUAAUUAAAAUACCGUUUGAACUAAACCGUAAACUUACGAGGAAAAGAA